GCUAUCAAUGUAAUAGCCGUUAGAGGGCGCUAUUCCGUCCCUUUUCUUUAGAAAACGCCAGCUACCAAGGAAAGGGUGGCUCCACCAAGAUACUGGAGGAGGAAAAAAAUAUGCUAGUUGGUUAGGUAGGAGUCGCCGCUCGGAUCAAUCCAUUACUCGUCCUAUUUGAAGACCCCGGGGAAAAGUCGAUACGUUUCUGAAACGGUGGUGUUGAUAGGUGAUGCUGGGAGUAGUAGAAAUGACGGGCAGCAACAUGGCGAACGCCCUGGCGAACGCGUCGUGCGAGCGCUGUAAGAGCGGCUUCGCCCCGGCAGAGAAGAUCGUCAACAGCAACGGGGAGCUGUACCACGAGGGCUGCUUCGUCUGCGCACAGUGCUUCCAGCAGUUCCCCGAGGGGCUCUUCUAUGAGUUUGAAGGCAGGAAAUACUGUGAACAUGACUUUCAGAUGCUCUUCGCUCCCUGCUGCCACCAGUGUGGGGAGUUCAUCAUUGGCCGUGUGAUCAAGGCCAUGAACAACAGCUGGCAUCCUGAUUGUUUCUGCUGUGACAUCUGCCAGGCUGUGCUCGCUGACGUCGGCUUCGUCAAGAACGCUGGCAGGCACCUGUGUCGACCCUGUCAUAACCGUGAGAAGGCUAGAGGUCUGGGGAAGUACAUCUGUCAGAAAUGCCAUGCCAUCAUCGAGGACAGCCCCCUCAUCUUUAAGAACGACCCCUACCACCCCGACCACUUCAACUGCAACAACUGUGGUAAGGAGCUGACAGCAGAUGCCAGGGAGCUGAAGGGAGAGCUGUACUGUCUGCCCUGCCAUGAUAAGAUGGGGGUGCCGAUCUGUGGCGCCUGCAGGAGGCCCAUCGAGGGACGCGUGGUCAACGCCAUGGGCAAGCAGUGGCACGUUGAGCACUUUGGGUGUAGUGUAUGUGAGCGAUCGUUCCAGGGCCAUCCCUACUAUGAAUGUAAGGGCUAUGCCUACUGCGAGUGGCACUUUAACAUGCUCUUUGGUGAUGUGUGCUACCACUGCAACAGAGUGAUUGAAGGAGACGUGGUGUCGGCCCUGAACAAAGCAUGGUGUGUGAACUGUUUCUCCUGCGCCACCUGCAACACCAAGCUCACCCUCAAAGACAAGUUUGUAGAGGUAGAUCUGAAGCCUGUAUGUAAGCACUGUUACGAGCGGAUGCCUGAGGAGCUGAAACGCAGACUGGCCCGACGCGAGAGGGACGCCUCAAAAGACCGCAAAAAGAAACCUGUUAUCUGUCUGUAGACUUUUCCAGUCCUCUUCCUGUCAUCUUCACUAUCCUCCUCUCGCUCAUUUCCAUCCAUGGGAACAAGUUUGUGGAGUUUGACAUGAAGCCUGUGUGUAAGAAAUGUUAUGAGAAGUUUCCUCUGGAACUGAAGAAGAGACUGAAGAAACUGGCUGAGACUGUCGGACGCAAGUAGACCUCCGAGUCCCAAGGGGGCGACACUCAACAACAUGUCCAGUAGCUUUUCCAAAGUCCCAGAAACUCUGGACAAUUCCCUGACUUUCCCGGAUGUCCUGCUUAUUCCCUAUUGAUUCUGGGGAUCUUCCAUUUCGAGAGGUUUCUAGAAACCUGGGAUUUUAAGAAAGUUACUGGAGGUUUGCAGGUUAGCAACGCUGAACCCAGUAUUAACCUUAACAAGUGCCCAAAUUAGUCAAAGGAAUUGUAUAAACGUGUCAGAUUUAGACUCAAAAUCCCGUCUGUUCCAGUAUUUUAGUAUUUGACGUCCUCCGGUACUCAGUAUAACGUGUUUUAAUCUUUUCUCACUUUUUAAUUGAUUAUUUUUGUGCACGUGGCUUUUGCAUGUGGAGCUGUUUUUCAGAUGUCCAGAGUCUUAUUCAAACAAUAUAGAACCUCAUUCUGCCUGACAAUGACCUAUUAAAUCAUGGAGGGGGGG